rnacentral:sRNA from 1 species
GCUGGGUGAUGUGCACACCUGUGAUCCCAGCUCCUUGGGAGGCUGAGGUGGGAGGACUGUAAAUCUGAGGCCAGCCUGGACAACUUAGCAGGACCCUGUCUCUA